GCUGAGGUUGGUGGUUCACACUUAUAAUCCCAGACACUGUGGAGGCUGAGGCAGAUUUCUGAGCUGCAUGCAGUAGUCUAAGCCAAUCGGGUGUCUGGACUAAGUCGAGCACCAAUAUUGUAGACCCCCAGGAGUGGUGAACCACCAGGCUGACUAGAGAGGGGUGAACUAGUUCAGGUCAGAAAUGGAAUAGGUCAAAGUUCCCAUGGCAAUCAGUAGUGGGAUCAUUCCAUGAGACGCUGCUCCAACCCAAGUGAGACAGACCCAAUCUCA
rnacentral:SRP_RNA from 1 species